GCGCCCCGUCCGCAGGUUCCGUCCACCUUCCGGAAGUCAGGGCCGCGGCGCUUCUGAUCCCCGAGACGUGGGGCUCCCGGGCUUCUGAGCGGCUCGGGUUCCGCGCUGCCGGCAGGGCUUGGGGGCGCCUUAGAGCCGGACCCAGUUUUUUCAGGAAGGGGAGCUGCGACCACCCCCGUCCCGGGCCUCAGCCCCUCUGCUGCAGACCCUCGGGAUCCUCGCUGGUGGGAGCUCUGUCCCCCGUGUCAGCGUCCAGGACCCCCGAAACGCCGCGCCUAGGAACCCCUAGCGCUGGGAGCCCGGCCCUGCUUGAUCACGGGCUUUGGGCUGGAGGCAUCACCGUCGCCACAGCGAACGCUUAUUUGGCACCGAGUGUGCGCCAGGCAUCGUUGAAAGAUUCUGGAGCUCGGCCAAGAGGGGUGUGUGAGUGGAGACCAGUGAAGUAACAGUUUUUGUGUUACGACGAUUUCUGUUUUCCUCUGCUGCCCUGUAAUGGCGGAAACUCAGAUAGUCUGGUCUUCAGACCAGGAAGACUCCCAGGAGAGAACGGGGAGCCAGCGUGCUGUGCGUCAUGGUCCCUGGAUGAACGUUUGUGGAACUGGAUUGAAUUAAACAAGACGUGCAAAGCAAGUGGUUCACGAGGGUCUUGCUCUGUCGCCCAGUCUGGAGUGCAGUGGCAAGAUCUCUACUCACUGCAGCCUCGAACUCUCAGGCUCAAGAAAUCUUCCCGCUGCAGCCUCCCAAAGUGCUGGGAUUACAGGUGUGAGCCACUGCGCCCGGCUAUAGCUAACAUUUUAUUUUUACAACCAAAAAAGAAAUAAAAAGGGAAAAUAAGGAAAAAUACUUGCAGUAGUUGUAGCCAGGGAGGCUAGUGUUGAACAGGUACACCCGUGAGCCCCAGGUGCACCCCGGGAGGGGAUUUGAGCGGGGUCCUGGCGAAAAUGAGGGCGGAAAGGAGGAGCGACUGGACAGUCUCCAGCCACUGGGAAGCCGCGUCGGGAGCGCAUGUGUUUCCAGUGAACGCCUCUGGGGGGCAGCAGAG